ACGCUCGACACCUACGGGAGACAGCAGUGGGGAAUAUUGCACAAUGGGGGAAACCCUGAUGCAGCGACGCCGCGUGAGCGAAGAAGUAUUUCGGUAUGUAAAGCUCUAUCAGCAGGGAAGAAACUGACGGUACCUGACUAAGAAGCACCGGCUAAAUACGUUCCAGCAGCCGCGGUAAUCUGAGCGGGCUGGCAAGGC
rnacentral:rRNA from 1 species